rnacentral:rRNA from 1 species
UACGGAGGGGGCGAGCGUUAUUCGGAAUCAUUGGGCGUAAAGGGCGCGUAGGCGGCCCGAUAAGUCAAAGGUGAAAUCCCUCGGCUCAACUGAGGAACUGCCUUUGAAACUGUCGGGCUUGAGGCCGGGAGGGGGUAGCGGAAUUCCCAGUGUAGCGGUGAAAUGCGUAGAUAUUGGGAGGAACACCGGUGGCGAAGGCGGCAUCCUGGACCAACACUGACGCUGAUGAGCGAAAGCCAGGGGAGCAAACGGG